UUUUAUGAGAGUUUGAUCCUGGCUCAGGACGAACGCUGGCGGCGUGCCUAAUACAUGCAAGUCGAACGCUUCUUUUUCCACCGGAGCUUGCUCCACCGGAAAAAGAAGAGUGGCGAACGGGUGAGUAACACGUGGGUAACCUGCCCAUCAGAAGGGGAUAACACUUGGAAACAGGUGCUAAUACCGUAUAACAAUCGAAACCGCAUGGUUUUGAUUUGAAAGGCGCUUUCGGGUGUCGCUGAUGGAUGGACCCGCGGUGCAUUAGCUAGUUGGUGAGGUAACGGCUCACCAAGGCCACGAUGCAUAGCCGACCUGAGAGGGUGAUCGGCCACAUUGGGACUGAGACACGGCCCAAACUCCUACGGGAGGCAGCAGUAGGGAAUCUUCGGCAAUGGACGAAAGUCUGACCGAGCAACGCCGCGUGAGUGAAGAAGGUUUUCGGAUCGUAAAACUCUGUUGUUAGAGAAGAACAAGGAUGAGAGUAACUGUUCAUCCCUUGACGGUAUCUAACCAGAAAGCCACGGCUAACUACGUGCCAGCAGCCGCGGUAAUACGUAGGUGGCAAGCGUUGUCCGGAUUUAUUGGGCGUAAAGCGAGCGCAGGCGGUUUCUUAAGUCUGAUGUGAAAGCCCCCGGCUCAACCGGGGAGGGUCAUUGGAAACUGGGAGACUUGAGUGCAGAAGAGGAGAGUGGAAUUCCAUGUGUAGCGGUGAAAUGCGUAGAUAUAUGGAGGAACACCAGUGGCGAAGGCGGCUCUCUGGUCUGUAACUGACGCUGAGGCUCGAAAGCGUGGGGAGCAAACAGGAUUAGAUACCCUGGUAGUCCACGCCGUAAACGAUGAGUGCUAAGUGUUGGAGGGUUUCCGCCCUUCAGUGCUGCAGCUAACGCAUUAAGCACUCCGCCUGGGGAGUACGACCGCAAGGUUGAAACUCAAAGGAAUUGACGGGGGCCCGCACAAGCGGUGGAGCAUGUGGUUUAAUUCGAAGCAACGCGAAGAACCUUACCAGGUCUUGACAUCCUUUGACCACUCUAGAGAUAGAGCUUCCCCUUCGGGGGCAAAGUGACAGGUGGUGCAUGGUUGUCGUCAGCUCGUGUCGUGAGAUGUUGGGUUAAGUCCCGCAACGAGCGCAACCCUUAUUGUUAGUUGCCAUCAUUCAGUUGGGCACUCUAGCAAGACUGCCGGUGACAAACCGGAGGAAGGUGGGGAUGACGUCAAAUCAUCAUGCCCCUUAUGACCUGGGCUACACACGUGCUACAAUGGGAAGUACAACGAGUCGCGAAGUCGCGAGGCUAAGCUAAUCUCUUAAAGCUUCUCUCAGUUCGGAUUGCAGGCUGCAACUCGCCUGCAUGAAGCCGGAAUCGCUAGUAAUCGCGGAUCAGCACGCCGCGGUGAAUACGUUCCCGGGCCUUGUACACACCGCCCGUCACACCACGAGAGUUUGUAACACCCGAAGUCGGUGAGGUAACCUUUUUGGAGCCAGCCGCCUAAGGUGGGAUAGAUGAUUGGGGUGAAGUCGUAACAAGGUAGCCGUAUCGGAAGGUGCGGCUGGAUCACCUCCUUUCUAAGGAA
rnacentral:rRNA from 1 species